GCCGUCUCGUUUUAUCGCACGCGGCUUUUGACCUCAAGGCGGAAGCUUCGCCACCGCCCCGUCCCCUUCCCAUCUCGAGAUCCUCGACGGAGCCCGAGGCGCCGACCACCACGAUCUACGCUCCUCCUUCCCAUUACGACUCAGGGUCCCGAUGGUCUGAUUUCUACCCUCUCUCUCCCCGAUCGCAAUCGACUAGAUUUUGGUUCGCAUCAGGAUGGGCUGCGCUGGAUCCACUCUCACCAAAGGAGAAGAGAAUACUAAGAAACUCCGUAAACCAAAGCCCUGGAAGCAUAAUGAGCCAAUAACCCGCACACAUCUCAAGCAGAUGCGUGAUGAAUUCUGGGAUACUGCUCCUCACUAUGGUGGCCAAAAAGAGAUAUGGGAUGCACUCCGAGCUGCAGCGGAAGCUGAUAUAAACCUUGCACAAGCUAUAGUGGACAGUGCAGGCAUAAUUAUUUCAAAUGCUGACAUGACUCUCUGCUAUGAUGAAAGAGGUGCAAAAUAUGAACUACCGAAGUAUGUUUUGAGCGAGCCUACUAAUUUGAUUCGAGAUAGCUGACCAAAAAGCCAUGUGCUCAAGCGCGAACCAUCGAUGUAGACCAUCUAUUGCCCACGCCAGGAGGCAGUCAGGUAUCCGUAAGAUGGUGGUUUAUCUGCCUCGGACACAAACCACCAAGUCGAGACUACAGAUGGAUUCUUGGUAAACACUAGAACACAACCUCACAUCAUGUCGCUCGCUCGGAGCAUCUUCUAGCGGUGAGAAGCUGCGCGGGCGUAGUUGACCCAACCGAAGGCCUCUUCCAUGGCCCUGAUGAGCGUGACGAGGUCCAAAGGCAACUCCUCGUCAUCCAAAUCGCUCGCGUUGUGGGGGAAAUAGUUGCUAUUGGCGCCGCCGUCGCUUCUUCUGACCGGUCCGCCGCCCUCCUUCCUCUCGCAGAGCACAAACCUGCACACCGGGCACUUCCCCUGGCUCUUCACCCACGGCACCAAGCAGUCGUUGUGGAACAUGUGGUUGCAUGGCGUCACCAGGACUUGGUCGGUCGGCAGGAACGCCUCCAAGCAAAUGGUGCAGUCCUUGCCGUCUUCCUCCUCCGCGUCGUCGGCGCCGGUGUCGGUCCUCCUGCUGAAGAGGCCGCGCUUCCACGCCCUACGCGGGGGGUAGGGAGGGCUGUACACCUGCUUCCUGAGCUUGCCCAUGGCCUUCUUGAACUCCUCGGCCGUCAGGCCCUGGUCCUCCGGCUCCGCCGCCUGGCCGAGGUGCCACUCGCCCCUGAUCCGCGGCGGCGAAUCCCUGAUGAACUGCGUCAGCCUGGGGUUCACCCUGUCGUCGGCGGAUCCACUGAGGACCAGGAUUCGUACCGGAGAAUGAGGCCGCGAAGGGAAGCUGAUGAAAGAACUCACGAAGUCAAAAGUCUUCUUCCUGGGGAGAAAGAAGAAUCAGCAAGCAAAGCUGUAGAUGUUGAGAUUCUAACAUCCACGGCAAAAACAAGGCAUACCGGCCGUCGGAUCAGGGGAUGAGGAACGCUCGGCCGCCAGAUCGGACGGCGGUCGUGUUCCGGGGACUGCGAAGAUCCAUGCUCGUUACCAUUCCUCCAACCCCGUGGGUAUAUCAAGGUAUUGUUGUUGGAACUCAUGCUUCAGCUGC